rnacentral:lncRNA from 1 species
CCUUCUACCGUCACGUUGAGCCUUGAAGAUCUCCGUCGUGGGGCUAUGCCCUCGUCUCCACUCUUCGGUCCAUAUCCUUCCACAUAUAGGGUUCCAUUCAUCGUAGUUUCUGAAUUUCCUACCAUUGUAUCCUUUCUCAAAGGAUUGAUCAAGAAACUUUUCUAGGAAAAAUUAAUUGAUAUGACGUGUGAGAAAUUCAACGUAACAAAAUUUCAAGAAACUAAUGCAAGAGGCUUCAUCGAGUGUUUUGAAUCAACUCUUAAUGAAAGCACCAAUUUGUUGAUGCAAAUUUUCGCCGUCUUCAGUCUUGACGAAAAUGCACAUGCAAAACAAUCAACACCUUUGAUCAAAGACACCUCACGUGUGCCUAAGUUAGUUUCUCCAAGAGAGUAAAGUGUUUAGGGCUUUUUUAGGGUUGCCAAAGCUCUUCAAAUUUGGUAGAAUAUGGGGUAUUUAUAAGACUAGGGCCGGCCAUAUAGUGUUAAUGGAGAGAUAUUCUCUAAAUAUUCCCAAGAUAUUAAAUAGGAAAUAAUAUCUGGAGACAAUGGUGUAAUUAGCCCUAAUUAAUUUAAUUUAGGAUUACUUACUUGAUUGGAGUUAAUCUUCAAAUGGGAAUGUAUUAAAGAUUGGAUUUGGGUAAUUAAUCCUUAUCUUUAAUUCCUUGCCAAAGGCAGGUGAGUUGUGGGCAGUUAUGCUCAGCUGCCGAGUCCUCCAAGGAUGUUUGCUGCACGUGGGAGCAUCUGAAAAGCCUGCCAAUUUAUUGAGGGCAAUCUUGUCUUUCCUGAAUAAAAGUCCACGUAUCGCCUCUAGAAUUUUUGGGAUUAUUUUUGGCUCCACAAUCCAUAAUAUAACGAAAUGAUAAUGUGGCCAAUAUUACGAUAAAGUUUGAGGGCUGGUAAUUAUAUAGUAUGUUUGAGCUCUUAGGACUAGCUAGCUAGCAGUGUGCCUAGAAAAUAUGGGCAAGCUAAGUAAGUAGAGCAUAUAAUUAUAUAUCUAAUAUAUAGAAUUAGUCUAUUCGGAGAUUGAUAUUAAUUAACUAAUUAAACAAGAAAUUAAGAUAAAGAUGUGAUUACUUUAAUUGGGAAUAGAGGUUUGGUAGGCCAACAGAUGUGAAGUUUGGAGAAACGUAGAGCAGUAACACUAAUAAUGUAGUACAUGGAGUCAAAAUUAACUUUAAGGUUCCAAUCUAUUUCUGAUUAUUAUUCUUCUCCAUCUAGGGGAAAUAUAUAUAUAUAUAUACUGUAGCCCUUGUGAUACAAGGAUAGUAAAUGAACCUAAUCAAACUAGGAAACAUAAUAAAACCUUUAAUCAAUAAUUACAUUCCUAAUCUAUCAGGAACU